rnacentral:rRNA from 1 species
UACGGAGGAUCCGAGCGUUAUCCGGAUUUAUUGGGUUUAAAGGGAGCGUAGGUGGAUUGUUAAGUCAGUUGUGAAAGUUUGCGGCUCAACCGUAAAAUUGCAGUUGAAACUGGCAGUCUUGGGUACAGUAGAGGUGGGCGGAAUUCGUGGUGUAGCGGUGAAAUGCUUAGAUAUCACGAAGAACUCCGAUUGCGAAGGCAGCUCACUGGACUGCAACUGACACUGAGGCUCGAAAGUGUGGGUAUCAAACAGG